rnacentral:rRNA from 1 species
GACAGAGGGGGCAAGCGUUGCUCGGAAUCACUGGGCGUAAAGGGCGCGUAGGCGGGAUGGCAAGUCAGUCGUGAAAUCUCUCGGCUCAACCGAGAAACGUCGGCUGAUACUGCCGUUCUUGAGGGAUGCAGAGGAGACUGGAAUUCCCGGUGUAGCGGUGAAAUGUGUAGAUAUCGGGAGGAAUACCGAUGGCGAAGGCAGGUCUCUGGGCUAUAACUGACGCUCAUGCACGAAAGCGUGGGGAGCAAACAGG